UACGUAGGGGGCAAGCGUUGUCCGGAAUUAUUGGGCGUAAAGCGCGCGCAGGUGGUGGAUUAAGUUGUGGGUAAAAGGCAAUGGCUCAACCAUUGUAAGCCUGCAAAACUGGUUCACUUGAGUGCAGGAGAGGGGAGUGGAAUUCCCGGUGUAGCGGUGGAAUGCGUAGAUAUCGGGAGGAACACCAGUGGCGAAGGCGACUCUCUGGCCUGUAA
rnacentral:rRNA from 1 species